rnacentral:rRNA from 1 species
GACGAACGCUGGCGGCGUGCUUAACACAUGCAAGUCGAACGGAAAGGCCCUGCUUUUGUGGGGUGCUCGAGUGGCGAACGGGUGAGUAACACGUGAGUAACCUGCCCUUGACUUUGGGAUAACUUCAGGAAACUGGGGCUAAUACCGGAUAGGAGCUCCUGCUGCAUGGUGGGGGUUGGAAAGUUUCGGCGGAUGGGGAUGGACUCGCGGCUUAUCAGCUUGUUGGUGGGGUAGUGGCUUACCCAGGCUUUGACGGGUAGCCGGCCUGAGAGGGUGACCGGCCACAUUGGGACUGAGGUACGGCCCAGACUCCUACGGGAGGCAGCAGUGGGGAAUAUUGCACAAUGGGCGGAAGCCUGAUGCAGCAACGCCGCGUGCGGGAUGACGGCCUUCGGGUUGUAAACCGCUUUCGCCUGUGACGAAGCGUGAGUGACGGUAAUGGGUAAAGAAGCACCGGCUAACUACGUG